GUAAGGGAUGGAAAUGAUGAUGAUAUUGAAGAAGAAAGAAGGCUCUUCUAUGUUGCUAUAACCAGAGCCAAGAAAAGGCUUUAUAUGAGUUUUGCACAGGA
rnacentral:sRNA from 1 species